rnacentral:rRNA from 1 species
ACUCAAAGGAAUUGACGGGGGCCCGCACAAGCGGCGGAGCAUGCGGUUUAAUUCGAUGCAACGCGAAGAACCUUACCAAGGUUUGACAUAUAGGGAAAUCUCAUAGAGAUAUGAGGUCCGCAAGGGUCCUAUACAGGUGGUGCAUGGCUGUCGUCAGCUCGUGUCGUGAGAUGUUGGGUUAAGUCCCGCAACGAGCGCAACCCUCGUUCUAUGUUGCCAGCGGAUAAUGCCGGGGACUCAUAGGAGACUGCCGGGGUCAACUCGGAGGAAGGUGGGGACGACGUCAAGUCAUCAUGCCCCUUAUAUCUUGGGCUACACGCAUGCUACAAUGGCCGGUACAAAGGGCUGCGAUACCGCAAGGUGGAGCGAAUCCCAUAAAGCCGGUCUCAGUUCGGAUCGGGGUCUGCAACUCGACCCCGUGAAGUUGGAGUCGCUAGUAAUCGCAGAUCAGCAAUGCUGCGGUGAAUACGUUCCCGGGCCUUGUACACACCGCCCGU